UCAUUAUCGAAAUCCAUAGAGAGGGAGGAGGGGAGGGGAAAGAUGGAAAGUGAAAUGACUGUCGCUGGUCCCUUUGCUAUUUGCUGUUUGGGGGGCAUGUGCACGUCUUGCAUUUUCAUUGACCUUUCUCUCUCUCACUCUCUCAUGACACAACACCUGUGCACCUAUUGUAGGCCCUCGCAAGAGGACCUAUGUAUUUUACAUCACACACAUCGCAUGUCUAGAAUGUAUUGAGAACCGUCGAUCCAUCGAAAGAUGGGUGGGGCGGUCGAGAUGGAAAUCAUACAACUUUCAGCAACGGAUCUCUUGGCUCUCGCAUCGAUGAAGAACGCAGCGAAUUGCGAUAAGUAAUGUGAAUUGCAGAUUUUCAGUGAAUCAUCGAAUCUUUGAACGCACCUUGCGCUUCUUGGUAUUCCGAGAAGCAUGCCUGUUUGAGUGUCAUUGAAUUCUCAACCAUGUCUUGAUUGAUUUUCGAGGCAUUGGCUUGGAGUUGGGGGUUGCUGGCGGCGAGAAGCCAUCAGCUCUCCUGAAAUGCAUUAGCGAAAGGGGUUGCAAGUCUUACCUGGACGUGCACGGCCUUUGACGUGAUAACGAUCGUCGUGGGCUUGGAGCGUCUUGACUGGGAGUCCCUUCUGAUCGCUUCUAAUUCCCUUAUGGAACCGGCUUUGGAUUGGAUUGGCUUGACUUUACUAGUUGGUCUCGACGAACGGUCAGGUCCGAAAACUUCCUAGGCUGGGUCUGUCUUUGAAAUCUUGACCUCA
rnacentral:rRNA from 1 species